CUGCCCUACGGGAGGCAGCAGUGAGGAAUAUUGGUCAAUGGGCGAGAGCCUGAACCAGCCAAGUCGCGUGAGGGAAGACGGUCCUAUGGAUUGUAAACCUCUUUUGUCGGGGAGCAAAAAGACUACGUGUAGUCCCAAGCGAGAGUACCCGAAGAAAAAGCAUCGGCUAACUCCGUGCCAGCAGCCGCGGUAAUACGUAGGGUGCGAGCGUUAAUCGGAAUUACUGGGCGUAAAGGGUGCGCAGGCGGUUGAGUAAGACAGAUGUGAAAUCCCCGAGCUUAACUCGGGAAUGG
rnacentral:rRNA from 1 species